rnacentral:rRNA from 1 species
CACGUAGGGCGCAAGCGUUGUCCGGAAUUAUUGGGCGUAAAGAGCUCGUAGGCGGUCUGUUGCGUCCGCUGUGAAAACUCGGGGCUUAACCCCGAGCCUGCAGUGGAUACGGGCAGACUAGAGGUAGGUAGGGGGAGAAUGGAAUUCCCGGUGUAGCGGUGAAAUGCGCAGAUAUCAGGAGGAACACCGGUGGCGAAGGCGGUUCUCUGGGAAUGACCUGACGCUGAGGAGCGAAAGUGUGGGGAGCGAACAGG